rnacentral:rRNA from 1 species
AUUGAACGCUGGCGGCAGGCCUAACACAUGCAAGUCGAGCGAGCGGCGGACGGGUGAGUAAUGUAUGGGGACUGCCCGAUAGAGGGGGAUAACUACUGGAAACGGUAGCUAAUACAGCAUACUAUCGGAUAACCCAUAUGGGAUUAACUAGUAGGUGAGGUAAUGGCUCACCUAGGCGACGAUCCCUAGCUGGUCUGAGAGGAGGAUCCGACCCAAGGGGAGCGAGAGACGGCCCAGACGCCGACGGAGGCAGCAGUGGGGAAUAUUGCACAAGGGGGGCAAGCCUGAUGCAGCCAUGCAGCGUGUAUGAAGAAGGCCCUAGGGUUGUAAAGUACUUUCAGUGGGGAGGCGUUACGGACAGAAGAAGCACCGCUUAACUCCGGGCCAGCAGCCGGGGUAUUC